rnacentral:hammerhead_ribozyme from 1 species
AUCCAGCUGACGAGUCCAAAAUAGGACAAGACUUGCGUCCUGAAU